AGUCAUUGGCAAGGUCAGAAAGCCAGACUUGAGGGAGCUGGGCCUGGUGCCCACCAGCUUAACCACAGCACACACUGCAACUCAUUCAUACGAGAAACACACGAAAUGUAGGCUGUGUUGAGAAAUAAAUAGCAGAAUUGUAAUUAGGGGCCAGAGGAAAAGGUUGUGAAGACCAUGUCAAGAUUUAUGCCUGUGAGAUGGGUUGCAGAAUUGACCUGAGCAGACCAGGCUUCCGAGGGUCAAAAAAGCGUCUGAAGGAGAGACACUGAGUGCAUUCUGGGUUCACAUUCCCCUCCUCUACUGCAUUCCUGAAUUUUCUGCCUCACAGCGGCAUCUGAAGCAGUGGCUGCUGUGUUUGCUACACCUACUAGUAGUUCAUGAAUUAAAUGUAAAUGAAAUAGGAUAGAGAACAUCAGAGCACAGGACAGUAACAGGACAGUAACUGAGGCCCUCAGUCCAACAACCUGCAAGGAACUGAAUUCUGGCAACCACCAUGAGAGCCUGGAAGCAGAUCCUUCCCAUGUCAAGCCUUCAAAAGAGAUCCCAGCCCUGGAUGACACCUUGACUGCAGCCUCAUGAGACAUCCUGGAGCAGAGAACUCACUAAGCUGUGACUGGAUUCCUGACCCACAGAAACUGUGAAGUAAAUAUGCAUUGUUUUGAGCAAGUUUGUGGUAAUUUGUUAUGCAGCAAUAGAUAACCAAUAUGCAGCCUAAUUUAUAUUUGACUUCCUCUGCUUCCUUAGCUUCAGCCUCACAUUCCUGACUUGACAACCCUCAUACAGUGACACCUAC